ACUGAACAUUCAGUUUUACUGCAAAACGUUGGUGAGAUUUCAUUUUCGAUAUUGUAAAAACACAAACUUUAAAUUUUCUGUUAAAGAUAUUAUAUUAUCUUUUGAAUGUAAGGACCCUAAAUUCAUUUUAUUGCCACUAUUAUGACAUUAAUGGGGAAUUUUUCAACUUUUGAUUAUCUAUUCGUGUUUUGAUUCCUUAAAUGAUUACCUGCCCACUAAACAUUAGACGUCUGAUGGACGUGCAGAUCGUGUCUAUAUUGCGUCCGUCGGUCCAUGACCAGUUAUGGACAUUUACACGACGUGCAAACUAGGUCCGAUAUUUGGACGUCUAACCACGACCCCACUUGGACGUCAGUAUGCAGUUCAACAUUUGAACGUCGGACUAGGUAACUUUUUUGGACGUCACGUGGACGUCUAAGACAGUUAGCGCCACUCUGAUUGGCUGAGGCAGUACGUCGUCAUAAGCCAACCAGUAAACGGCACCCUGAUUGGCCGAGGCAACACGCCAAGCUUUUGGCGCGAUUCUUCGAAUUUCAUCAGCUGUCUCUGAUUUCCUCUCUGUGGAAGCAAGUGGCCGUUCGGCUCUGUUCAGCGCACAUCAAGAAUCACCGUUUUCCAGUAAGUUGAAAUUGGAUUUAUGAAAUUUGAUGACACAGAGGAUGAAGCAAAGGACUGCAAAGAAGUGGAGGUGGAGGAUACACAGCAGUUACUCAGGACUUAUUAUCCAUUGUGCAGAAUGUUGUCACAGCCUUUGUACAUUGUCUUCUUUUCUGUAUUCAGUAUAAUUGGUUCUGGUUGGAUUUUACCUCAAAACACAGUUUAGCACUUUAAUUUUUAUUGUUUUAAAUUUCUGUUGUUGUAUAUGUAUGUUUAUUUGUUGUGAUACAGACCCAAACAAGGUGGGUGGUGUAAUUUAUUUUUAUAUUUAUUUAUUUGAAUUUUUCUAUUACUGGUAGUUAUUGGCUAUCACUUUCAUUUAGUUUUGGCAGACAAUCAAAAGUAAAGCAUGUUGGCUUCAACUGAUG